rnacentral:rRNA from 1 species
GACGAACGCUGGCGGCGUGCCUAAUACAUGCAAGUUGAGCGCUGAAGGUUGGUACUUGUACCAACUGGAUGAGCAGCGAACGGGUGAGUAACGCGUGGGGAAUCUGCCUUUGAGCGGGGGACAACAUUUGGAAACGAAUGCUAAUACCGCAUAAAAACUUUAAACACAAGUUUUAAGUUUGAAAGAUGCAAUUGCAUCACUCAAAGAUGAUCCCGCGUUGUAUUAGCUAGUUGGUGAGGUAAAGGCUCACCAAGGCGAUGAUACAUAGCCGACCUGAGAGGGGGGUCGGCCACAUUGGGACUGAAACACGGCCCAAACUCCUACGGGAGGCAGCAGUAGGGAAUCUUGGGCAAUGGGCGAAAGUUUGCCCAAGCAACGCCGCGUGAGUGAAAAAGGUUUUCGGAUCGUAAAACUCUGUUGGUAGGGAAGAACGUUGGGGAGAGUGGAAAGCCCAUAAAGGAACGGAAACUCCCAAAAAAGGGACGGCAAACUAGGG